rnacentral:lncRNA from 1 species
GCCGUGGCAUAAACCCUAACAGUGAUUUCAUGUGAUUAGAGACUUCUGUGCUCUGAAGAAGCCCGGGAGGUGAGACUCCGAGAAGAGAGGAGUUCAUUUACCCCAGUCUCCAGAGAUCGCAGCGGUGGCUUUGCUCUGUGUGUCCUUCUGACCCAGCUCCGUGGGAUGAAAAUGUGCUACUUCCAGGACCAACCAAAGGAAUUCUGAUAUGUACACCUUUGUGGGUGACAAAGAUGGAGACCAUGGUGCACUGCAGAGGUUACAUGAAUUGAAGAUGGCAGUGCCUUUGGGUGGAUUCCAUUAAGA